UACGGGGGGGGUAAGCGUUGUUCGGAAUUACUGGGCGUAAAGGGCUCGUAGGCGGCCAACUAAGUCGGACGUGAAAUCCCUCAGCUUAACUGGGGAACUGCGUCCGAUACUGGAUGGCUUGGAUUUGGGAGAGGGAUGCGGAAUUCCAGGUGUAGCGGUGAAAUGCGUAGAUAUGUGGAGGAACACCGAUGGCGAAGGCAGCCCCCUGGGUUAACACUGACGCUCAUGCACGAAAGCGUGGGGAGCAAACAGG
rnacentral:rRNA from 1 species